rnacentral:rRNA from 1 species
ACGGGAUGAACGCUAGCUACAGGCUUAACACAUGCAAGUCGUGGGGCAGCAUAUAGAUAGCUUGCUAUUUAUGAUGGCGACCGGCGCACGGGUGAGUAACGCGUAUCCAACCUUCCCCAUAGUAGGGUAUAGCCCGGCGAAAGUCGGAUUAAUCCCCUAUGUUGUUUGAAGCGGACAUCUAAUUCAAACCAAAGAUUCAUCGCUAUGGGAUGGGGAUGCGUCUGAUUAGGUUGCAGGCGGGGUAACGGCCCACCUGGCCGACGAUCAGUAGGGGUUCUGAGAGGAAGGUCCCCCACACUGGUACUGAGACACGGACCAGACUCCUACGGGAGGCAGCAGUGAGGAAUAUUGGUCAAUGGGCGCGAGCCUGAACCAGCCAAGUAGCGUGCAGGAUGACGGCCCUACGGGUUGUAAACUGCUUUUAUGCGGGGAUAAAGUGCGGCACGUGUGCCGUUUUGCAGGUACCGCAUGAAUAAGGACCGGCUAAUUCCGUGCCAGCAGCCGC